rnacentral:rRNA from 1 species
AUUGAACGCUGGCGGCAGGCCUAACACAUGCAAGUCGAGCGAGCGGCGGACGGGUGAGUAAUGUAUGGGGACUGCCCGAUAGAGGGGGAUAACUACUGGAAACGGUGGCUAAUACCGCAUACUAUCGGAUAACCCAUAUGGGAUUAGCUAGUAGGGGGGGUAAAGGCUCACCUAGGCGACGAUCUCUAGCUGGUCUGAGAGGAGGAUUAGCCAAACUGGGACUGAGACACGGCCCAGGAUCCUACGGAGGCAGCAGGGGGGAAUAUUGCGCAAUGGGCGCAAGCCUGAUGCAGCCAUGCCGCGUGGAUGAAGAAGGCUUUAGGGUUGGAAAGUACUUUCAGCGGGGAGGCGUUACCCGAAGAAGAAGCACCGGCUAACUCCGGUGCAGCAGCCGCGGUAAUUC